rnacentral:rRNA from 1 species
AGUGAACGCUGGCGGUAGGCCUAACACAUGCAAGUCGAACGGCAGCACAGUAAGAGCUUGCUCUUACGGGUGGCGAGUGGCGGACGGGUGAGGAAUACAUCGGAAUCUACUUUUUCGUGGGGGAUAACGUAGGGAAACUUACGCUAAUACUGCAUACGACCUACGGGUGAAAGCAGGGGAUCUUCGGACCUUGCGCGAUUGAAUGAGCCGAUGUCGGAUUAGCUAGUUGGCGGGGUAAAGGCCCACCAAGGCGACGAUCCGUAGCUGGUCUGAGAGGAUGAUCAGCCACACUGGAACUGAGACACGGUCCAGACUCCUACGGGAGGCAGCAGUGGGGAAUAUUGGACAAUGGGCGCAAGCCUGAUCCAGCCAUGCCGCGUGGGUGAAGAAGGCCUUCGGGUUGUAAAGCCCUUUUGUUGGGAAAGAAAAGCAGCAGGUUAAUACCCCGCUGUUCUGACGGUACCCAAAGAAUAAGCACCGGCUAACUUCGUG